CGGACGGGUGAGUAACGCGUGGAAAACCUGCCGUAUACUGGGGGAUAACACUUAGAAAUAGGUGCUAAUACCGCAUAAGCGCACAGCUUCGCAUGAAGCGGUGUGAAAAACUCUGGUGGUAUACGAUGGUUCCGCGUCUGAUUAGCUAGUUGGUGGGGUAAUGGCCUACCAAAGCAACGAUCAGUAGCCGGCCUGAGAGGGUGAACGGCCACAUUGGGACUGAGACACGGCCCAAACUCCUACGGAAGGCAGCAG
rnacentral:rRNA from 1 species